GGGCACGAACCUGCGUCCCCUGCAUCGGCAGGCGGACUCUCAACCCCUGCGCCACCAGGGAAGCCCUGCACUUAUUUUUAUUUUUAUUUUUUUUGCGGUACGCGGGCCUCUCACUGUUGUGGCCCCUCCCGUUGCGGAGUACAGGCUCCGGACGCGCAGGCUCAGCGGCCAUGGCUCACGGGCCCAGCCCCUCUGCGGCCUGUGGGAUCCUCCCGGACCGCGGCACGAACCCGUAUCCCCUGUAUCGGCAGGCGGACUCUCAACCACUGCGCCACCAGGGAAGCCCCAUUGCACUUAUUGAUUAUGGGCUAUGAUUGAAUUGACCCCUGAUUGACAUCCGGCCCCUCCCCUCACUGCAUCCUCAGAUUCCUUCUCCUUUCCGGGCGUCUGGCAUCUUCUGAUGGUGAAGUCUGGUCCCAAUUCCAGGAUUCCUAGCUCUUCUUGCCUGAAUAGCUGGGCUCCUUUCAGUGAAUGGCUCAGAAUCUCACCCCACAUGGUCCCUCCUGGAGAGGGGAGUGUCCUUGCUUCCAUUUCCUUCCAAACAGAGCUCAUUCUGGUGAUAUUUAUCACCUCCUUUAAUACAAAGUGACGCUAAAUGUCUGGACCAGAGUAGUGGCCCUUGGUGCAUCUAGAGAGAUGUGAAGGUUUAAAUGUAUUUUGAUCAUAGCAUGCUGCACAGACACACCCUGGACUCACCGCUGGAAUUGUGAGGGGUGCAGAUUGGGGAAGGCAGGAGUCCUGAGCAACAGCACCUGCCCAGGGUCGGCAUGUGUCCUGCAUCCACCAGAGGGCGCUGUGUCCUAUGCACCUGCUUGAUGCUCUCCAGUUUCUCAGCUGAGUCCCUCCCCUCUUGCAGGUGUUCCUGUGACCUCACUGGGGUGAAUAACACCUCCCUCCUACAGUCUCUCUUCUUAUCAGGUGGAGCCAAGGCUAAGGUUGAAGGAGGGAUUUGAACAACCUCCAGAAAGGGGAAUAUUUGCAUGGAGACCUCCUACCCUCAGGAUCAGGGUGACAUAUAAGAAGGGUUGGUGGGCUCAGGCCUGGCUGUGAGGCUCAGAAAGCAGAGCCUAGGGGUGUCUUCACCAUGGCCUGGGCUCCUCUCUUCCUCACUCUCUUCGCUCACUGCACAGGUGGAUGCCUGCAGGGAAUUCUGGGAGGGCUCCUGUUUGUCACCUGGGAGGAUGACCUCUCCCCGCUCCCUGGGAAUGGGAUCUGUCCUGUCCUCACUGGGUCUUGGGCAGAGGUUGUGUUGACUCAGCCCCGCUCUGUGUCGGGGUCUCUGGAGCAGAAGGUCACUAUCUCUUGCACCCGCAGCAGCGGUAACAUUGGGAGUUACUAUGUGCACUGGUACCAGCAGCGCCCGGGCAGUGCCCCCACCACCAUAAUCUACAAGGGUGACCAAAGACCCUCCGGAGUUCCCAUUCGUUUCUCUGGCUCCAUUGACACCUCCUCCAGUGCUGCCUACCUGACCAUCUCUGGGCUGCAGCCUGAGGACGAGGCCAACUACUACUGUCAGUCCAGUUAUGACAGCAACAAGGACACAGUGCUCCAGACCCACGGAAAAGUGAGAUCAAAAUUCCCCAGAGCCUCCCUGUUCUGGGUCUGCCCUUGACCCAUCCCCACUAGGGAGGGCUGAUUGUUUCCCUGUGUUCUUCUUGAAGGCUCAAGCUGGAAUUUUCAUGAGUUCCUCUCUUUUCUUUCCAAAAUAUAAUUUUUCCUCUCAUGUCUUGAUAGAUGAUCUCAUA